AUACUUUAGCGCUUCAUACGAUCCAUGUAAUCUAAAAUAAAAUAAAACAAAUUACAAUUAGACAAAAUCAGGAUUCUUGGUAAGAAAUCAAAGACGAGCGAUGAUUAAAAUCUUUAAUUUAUUUACUCUAAUGAACCACAUUAAGUGUAAACACAACACCUGAAUUACUUUUAAAGUUAACUCGGAUUAUUUUAUUGUAACCAUUCUCACACGUGGAUGUGUGAAAAGAAAGAAGAUUAUUGUUAUUAUCGUAAUUCAUAAUCAUCCAAGCAGUCUGUUAAUUUUAUUAACUAAAUAUGUAUUGAAAUGAUUUAUUAAGUCCAUGGACAGUGGGCAUAAGUACACUGACCUCGGGUCCAUUGAUUCGCAAUUGUAAUAGUAAUAAAAAUUACAAUAACAUCUAUAAUAUAUUUACUGCAAGUGAAAGUAUCAUGAUGGUUAUAACAAUUGAUUUAGCAUACAAUAAAUCAAGGACAAAUAUAAAUAAAUACCUUUUGGUCAGUAGAGACAGGUAUUAUGGUACUUAUCGGGAUUGUAGGAAAAAAAAUAAAGGUCCAUAUCCAGGAGAUUAAAUAGAGAGAAAGAAGAAAGAGGACAUGCUGGUGGAGAUGAGAGUGGUGAAAGCGUCUGGUGCAUUAUUGGAACGAGCAUUUAUAUUUUUUGUGUAUAAAUAUAUGUGUAGAUAAUAAUGAAGCUGAAGAAAAGAUGAGAUUUUACAAAGUUAAAAGAAAGAAGAAGAGUUGUAGUUAAUAUUUUGCGCAUUCAUACUAAUACCACUAAUACAUUUAUUCAUAAACGCAAGUAUGAAUUAUUGUGAGCGUUAUGGUUGAAGAAAUAAAUAAAAUGUAUGUGGAUUUUCUAAUGGAAAUCGCGGUAAAACACGUUGGACAUUAAACAAGAGCUUUCUACCUACAUCAUUCUAAUUCCUAUUGAGUUUCCUUAUUUAGCUUAAAUACAUGUGUGUGCAGGAGGUUUAAGUGGACAACAAACCGGAUAAUAUCUUGAGA